rnacentral:rRNA from 1 species
UACGUAGGGCGCAAGCGUUAUCCGGAAUUAUUGGGCGUAAAGAGCUCGUAGGCGGUCUGUCGCGUCGGUCGUGAAAACUUGGGGCUUAACCCUGAGCUUGCGGUCGAUACGGCAUGACUGGAGUUCGGUAGGGGAGACUGGAAUUCCUGGUGUAGCGGUGAAAUGCGCAGAUAUCGGGAGGAACACCUGUGGCGAAGGCGGCCACCUGGUUGGAUACUGACGCUGAGACGCGAAAGCGUGGGAGCAAACAGGG